rnacentral:rRNA from 1 species
AGUGUAGGCGGCUACUUAAGUCGGAUGUGAACGCCCUGGGCUCAACCUGGGAAUUGCAUUCGAUACUGGGUAGCUAGAGUUUGGUAGAGGUAAGUGGAAUUCCGGGUGUAGCGGUGAAAUGCGUAGAUAUCCGGAGGAACAUCAGUGGCGAAGGCGGCUUACUGGACCAAAACUGACGCUGAGGCUCGAAAGCGUGGGGAGCAAACAGGAUUAGAUACCCUGGUAGUCC